rnacentral:lncRNA from 1 species
AUAGGAUGUCGGCAAUCUCAGAAACCUCUGGGAGUCUGCUUUUCAUGUAGCAAACAACCUAGUAAGAAAAACUAGCUUUGGAGCCAGCCCCGGCUGGAAAAAAUGAAGCUAAAUGAAACUCUCUCCACAAUAUUGGGCUAAAACCUUUUGAUGUUUCUUGCUGAGCCUACCUGGCUAAUGCCAUCAGUGAAAGACAAAUCAGAACAGAUGAAGAAUGUGACUUUCAGGGGAUGAAUUAGCACCAGAAGCCUGGAAGGAACUCCCUGCCAGCAGGAGGCGGCCAGCUCUAGCUUCCUGGGGCUUUGAAAAAGGCCUGGCUCAGCCCCGAGGCUGUGACAUGGUGGGGGAAAUGCUGGACUGAGAACCAGACACCUGGCUUUGAGAACGCAGGUCUGCUGUGAACUUGCUGAAUCUAUUCUCCUGUCUGUAAAACGGGGAUGAUAGUAAAGACAUUCUGGAAUUAAAUGAAAAUGAUAGGCUAUGUUACUCGUGUACUUGAUGUGAGCGGAUGGGCCCUUGGAAAAGAAAAUUCAUUUAAAGAAGCAAUCAAGAGCCCCUGGCCUUGGGGUGGGAUAGUUUAGUCCAAGAGAGUAGGAAGACCCUUGGGAUGGAGGAAGAUGAGGAAAACAGACCCCCGGUUAUCUCACUAUGGCGAAGGCGGCCAUCCUUCAAGCUGGCACGAACAGCCUGGGAUAUCAGUCCACGUUCCUUUCUCCUCUAGCUUCUUAGACUGAAAGUAUUAAAAGGACUGCUUGAGCAAAGGCGAUUUUGACAUAACCUCAUUCUGCAUCAGAGCUGAAAGCAU